UACGUAGGGGGCUAGGCGUUGUCCGGAAUCAUUGGGCGUAAAGAGCGUGUAGGCGGCUCGGUAAGUCCGCUGUGAAAGUCCAGGGCUCAACCCUGGAAUGCCAGUGGAAACUGUCGAGCUAGAGUCCGGAAGAGGCGAGUGGAAUUCCUGGUGUAGCGGUGGAAUGCGUAGAGAUCCGGAAGAACACCAGUGGCGAAGGCGGCCCGCUGGGCAGGUGGCUGACGCUGAGGCGCGACAGCGUGGGGAGCAAACAGG
rnacentral:rRNA from 1 species